rnacentral:tRNA from 1 species
GGGCCCUUAGCUCAGCUGGUCAGAGCAGUGGACUCAUAAUCCAUUGGUCGUAGGUUCGAAUCCUACAGGGCCCA